UAGAUUUUAUGCCCACAUAAAAUAAUUUAUGUCAUUGUUCUGUCCCUAUACUCAUUACUGUACAGAAUAUUACGGGUCAGGUUUUUAGCCGUUACGGGUCAGGUUUUAGCCAAGUACGUCUUAGCCAAUCGAUAUCAAGACUUAAAUCAUGUGAUGUUAAUUAACCAAUGAUUACAUUAGAUCUAUCACAAAGAAAUAAUUUUUGGCGAGGAAUGAUUCUCGCCUUUCUGUUUACUAAAAUUUAUCUAUUUUUGAAGUCAUAAGCUUUACUUAAAGUGAACUAAUUACGUAUUACUAUGAACAGUUAUCUUAUUAAUCUGCUGGGAGCGAAUUUUAGGGACGGUGUCCCCCGUUUCAUAUUCAAUUUCGUGACGAAAAUGGCAAUUCAUUUCACGGCAACACGGGCAGGAUAUCAAAUGCAACUUUUUUGGGAGCUUUGAAAGUUUGAGACAUCAUCAGUCGGGAAACAGUUGUGCCGGCCUUUGGACACUGUUGGAACUAAUGACAUUUACAAAUCAGAAUUUAUCCACAAAACGUUGCUCGUCAUAUUACA